rnacentral:rRNA from 1 species
CCUACGGGAGGCAGCAGUGAGGAAUAUUGGUCAAUGGGCGCGAGCCUGAACCAGCCAAGUAGCGUGAAGGAUGACUGCCCUAUGGGUUGUAAACUUCUUUUAUAUGGGAAUAAAAUGUUCCACGUGUGGGUUUUUGUAUGUACCAUAUGAAUAGGGAUCGGCUAACUCCGUGCCAGCAGCCGCGGUAAUACGGAGGAUCCGAGCGUUAUCCGGAUUUAUUGGGUUUAAAGGGAGCGUAGGUGGAUUGUUAAGUCAGUUGUGAAAGCUUGCGGCUCAACCGUAAAAUUGCAGUUGAAACUGGCAGUCUUGAGUACAGUAGAGGUGGGCGGAAUUCGUGGUGUAGCGGUGAAAUGCGUAGAGAUCACGAAGAAUUCCGAUUGCGAAGGCAGUUCACUGGACUGCAACUGACACUGAGGCUCGAAAGUGUGGGUAUCAAACAGGAUUAGAUACCCGAGUAGUC